AUACCAUAGUGAGGACAAGCAGAAAUAUAGUCUUGGAGGCGUUCCCAUGCCUCGAGGACUGUUUCAUCUUUUAACUGUUGGAAGCUAGCAAUUUAUGUCCGGAGAGC
rnacentral:snoRNA from 1 species